GGGGCUGCAAGAGUUGUUUGGUUUUUUUCUGGCAGUUUUUGUCAGAGAGCUUUGAUUGUAUCAUGCAACUAUUCAAAACUGGAAAUGCUGUUUUUACAGCUAUCAUGAUAGUAUUUUUCAUGUGGUUACAGUGGUAUCAGUUUUAUUCUGCAGCAUCUGGGGGAUUUGGUUUUGGUUUGAUUUUUGUUGGGGUUUCUUUAAUCCAGAGUUAAAGAGUCACCUUAAAUACUGAGCUGCUUUGACCAUGUCUGGAAAAUUAAAUGUUAAAUUUUCUGUGCUAGUGAGAGAAGGUGAAGGGAAUGAAAAAGUCAGAAGGGAAAGAUGGUCAAUGCUCCCAGUGCUCCCAGUGCUCCCAGUGUUUCCAGUGCUCCCAGUGUUUCCAGUGUUCCCACUGCUUCCAGUGCUCCCAGUGCUCCCAGUUCACUCCCAGUGCUCCCAAUGUCCCAGUUCACUCCCAAUGCUCCCAGUGCUCCCAGUGUUCCCAAUGCUCUCAGUGCUCCCAGUGGUCCCAGUGCUCCCAGUGCUCUCAGUGCUCCCAGUGCUCCCAGUUCACUCCCAGUGCCUCCAGUGCUCCCAAUGCUCCCAGUACUCCCAGUUCACUCCCAAUGCUCUCAAUGCUCACAGUGCUCCCAGUUCACUCCCAGUGCUCCCAGUGCUCCAGUGUUCCCAAUGCUCUCACUGCUCCCAAUGCCCCCAGUUCUCCCAAUGCUCCCAGUGCUCCCAGUUCACUCCCAGUGCUCCCAGUGCUUCCAGUGCUCCCAGUGCUCCCAAUGCUCCCAGUACUCCCAGUGCUCCCAAUGCUCCCAGUGCUCCCAGUUCACUCCCAGUGCUCCCAGUGCUCUCAGUGCUCCCAGUUCACUCCCAGUGGUCCCAAUGCUCCGUGUUCCCAGUGCUCCCAGUUCACUCCCAGUACUCCCAGUGCUCCCAAUGCUCCCAGUGCUCCCAGUUCACUCCCAAUGCUCUCAAUGCUCCCAGUGCUCCCAGUUCACUCCCAGUGCUCCCAGUGUUCCCAGUGCUCCCGGUUCACUCCCAGUGCUCCCAGUGCUCCCAGUGCUCCAGUGUUCCCAAUGCUCUCAGUGCUCACAAUGCCCCCAGUUCUCCCAAUGCUCCCAGUCCUCCCAGUUCUCCCAAUGCUCCCAGUCCUCCCAAUUCACUCUCAAUGCUCCCAGUUCCCCCAGUGCUCCCAAUGCUCCCAAUUUUCCCAGUUCUCCCAGUGCCUCCUGUCCAGGCUGUCCUGCCUGCAGCUCUCUGUGCCUGGCUCAGCCCCUGGCCAGCCCAUC
rnacentral:lncRNA from 1 species